rnacentral:piRNA from 1 species
CUGUGUGAGGGAGAAAGACUGUUGAAUA